rnacentral:rRNA from 1 species
AAUCAACGCUGGCGGCGUGCCUAACACAUGCAAGUCGAACGAGAAAGUGUAGCAAUACAUGAGUACAGUGGCGACCGGGUGAGUAACACGUGACUAACCUACCUUUAUGUGGGGAAUAACCUUCAGAAAGGACGGCUAAUCCCGCAUAACAUGGAGAGGCGAGAUUCCUCGCGAUCAAAGGAGCAAUUCGCAGGAAGAGGGGGUAACGGCCAAGUAGAUAGUUGGUGAGGUAACGGCUCAGCAAGGCAGUGAUCAGUAACCGGCCUCAAAGGGCGCACGGACACACUGGAAAUGAAACACGGUCCAGACUCCUACGGGAGGCAGCAGUGGGGAAUUGUGCGCAAUGGGGGAAACCCUGACGCAGCAACGCCGCGUGGAGGAUGAAGGUCUUUGGAUUGUAAACUCCUUUCGAUCGGGACGAUGAUGACGGUACCGGAAGAAGAAGCACCGGCUAACUCUGUGCCAGCAGCCGCGGUAA